rnacentral:rRNA from 1 species
UACGUAGGGGGCAAGCGUUGUCCGGAAUCAUUGGGCGUAAAGCGCGUGUAGGCGGACUGGAAGGUCUGGUGUGAAAUCCCCGGGCUCAACCUGGGAACUGCAUCUGUGACUGCAUAGCUAGAGUACGGUAGAGGGGGAUGGAAUUCCGCGUGUAGCAGUGAAAUGCGUAGAUAUCAGGAGGAACACCUGUGGCGAAAGCGGCUCACUGGACCAUAACUGACGCUGAUGCACGAAAGCUAGGGGAGCAAACAGG